CAGUAGCCACGGUAAUACGAGGGGGGCAAGCGUUGUUCGGAAUUAUUGGGCGUAAAGGGUGCGUAGGCGGUUUGAUAAGUCUGAUGUGAAAUCUCUGGGCUCAACCCAGAGUCUGCAUCGGAAACUGUCGGGCUUGAGUAUGGGAGAGGUGAGUGGAAUUUCCGGUGUAGCGGUGAAAUGCGUAGAUAUCGGAAGGAACACCUGUGGCGAAAGCGGCUCACUGGACCAUUACUGACGCUGAUGCACGAAAGCUAGGGGAGCAAACAGGAUUAGAUACCCCAGUAGUCCCUGUCUCUUAUAC
rnacentral:rRNA from 1 species